rnacentral:rRNA from 1 species
CUACAGCUGAUCGUACGUCGAAGUACCAGUCCUGACUGAACCAGUCUAGUCUACGAGCAGCACGGGUAAUUGACCAUGGCAACCUGAUCCAGCCAUGCCGAUUGAUGAGACGCCUGCGGUAGAAAUCUUCUUCGGCGGGAAGAAUUCCUCAUCUUCUUAGUGCGGGGGUGUGGAUGACGUACUGAAGAAGAAGCACGACUACUACGUGCCAGCAGCGCGUAAUACGUAGGGUGCGAGCGUUAAUCGGAAUUACGGGCGUAAAGCGUGCGCAGGCGGCGCCAUAAGACAGCUGUGAAAUCCCCGGGCUUAACCUGGGAACUGCGGUUGUGACUGUGGUGCUUGAGUGCGGCAGAGGGGGGUGGAAUUUCCACGUGUAGCAGUGAAAUGCGUAGAGAUGUGGAGGAACACCGAUGGCGAAGGCAGCCCCGUGGGUCGACACUGACGCUCAUGCACGAAAGCGUGGGGAGCAAACAGGAUUAGAUACCCUGGUAGUCCACGCCCUAAACGAUGCGAACUAGGUGUUGGGGAAGGAGACUUCUUUAGUACCGUAGCUAACGCGUGAAGUUCGCCGCCUGGGGAGUACGGUCGCAAGAUUAAAACUCAAAGGAAUUGACGGGGACCCGCACAAGCGGUGGAUGAUGUGGAUUAAUUCGAUGCAACGCGAAAAACCUUACCUACCC